CAUCAAAUUUUAUUGAAUUAAAGCAUCUUGAGAUUAUAAUUGUCUCCUUAGUAUAUCUGAUCCAUACACGUCCUGACUCUCCCUUCUGUUUAUUGAUUUUCUAUUGACUGCUGCACAUAACACACAUGGUUGGGGUUCGAAUCUCAAGAGGGCUGUUUCAAUUAUUAAGUAUGCGCUGGUGAACCAUCUGCAGAGGAGACAAGGGAUGAGAGCUUGGAGUUUCCAUAACCUCUUGUAUUGGUUUGUUAUAUUUCAGAAUUUUUUCUUCUUCCUGUUGUUUGUCCCCCCCCCCCCCCCCCCACCUCUCCCGCCCCUAUUUCCAUUGGUCUUUGUAAAGACAUGGUUCAUUGCAUCACACUGUUUAUGUUGCGAGACCCAUUUUAGGAUAUUUGAAUUAUCUGGCUGGCACAAGAUCACCCUGCAGUAAUUGAGUUUGGUGUAGAAUGUUGUGCACUCAUUGUUGUCUUCUUAGAGUGCUGUCCUGUAACACAUUUAUUGACAUUGAAUGCUCCUGGUGGUGGGUGUUAUGCAGUCUGAUUGGAUUGUGAUUUUCCAUUCUCCAUAGAUAGCUAAGCAGCAGAAGGGUAUCUGAUGCCCAUGGUUCUUAAUUUUACAUCAAGCAAUAUAAAUUGUUGAAAGGUAAGUAUGCACUCCAAGCAAAAUUUUAGAAGCAAGCAAAUAAGAGAUAUGGAGAGAGAAGAUGCUCAGUAUUUGUAUGAACUGAUGUUUGUAUUUAAUCAGAAUAUUCUGUGUACAUGUAUUCCUUUUCCUUGUACAAAGUGAAAUCCCUAGGCAAUUCCCCAGAAGUUAAAAAAAAUUGGGGUGCUACUGGUUGAGGAUGUUGAGGAGGGUGACUCUGGUUUUGAUCAAAUUCCGGGAAAUGCAUUCCAGUCCAUUUUCAAGAUCCCAGAUACUCAACUCUAGUGACUCCAAUUGCUUCUGUGCUUCAACAUGUCUGAACUGAAGGCCCUUGUGUGUCUUGUGGCCAAGGAGGGUGCCCAGUGUGUCAUCCACCUUCUCAAAUCCAUCUCUCUCCAUCUCUUUCUUAUCACAUGCCCCAACAUUCUUUUUCAUUAAUUUGGAAAUGAAAGACCGACCCCUUGACAUUGCCUUUGUUCCAGAUAGGAAUGACAGCAGGGACUCAAAUAUGGAGAGGGUUAUUGCUUCCACUUCUCUUAGGACACUAACCAUGGCAACAAUGCUGUGGUCUUUGUCUAAGAGAGAGGAAAAUGCACGCUGCUUCUGUGCUUUCCUUAGAUCUCCAAGGCACUUGCUGAUCACCUUAGUCGUCUUCUUCCUGGACAUGUUGUAUGCGUCAACUUCAUUUGCUAGGCCAGAUUCACCUCUUAUUCUACGGAGGGAAGAUUGAAGCUCUGUUACACAUUCUUUCAUCUGUGAAAGAACAUCCCUAGCUGUGCCACACACAUCCAGCGACCUGAGAGAUCCAUCCAACAACUCAUCAACCCAUUUCUCUCCUCGUUCUUGAGCUAAUGUUUGUUCGGUCAGUGGCAAAUGAAGCAAAUCAUCGACGCUGUCAUAUAAAUUUCUGAGGUCACUCAAGUUGUAAGAUAUCGAUGAUGAUGAUGCCAAAGAUGAUGUGGUGGCUUCUGAAGCCCUUAACCUGUGCAAUUGCUCCUCAACCUGAAUCGUAAGAGGAUGAGUUCUGGAGGGCAAACUGAUGGAACGAGCAUGGCGUGAAGCUUUAGGAUGGAAAGGAGAUGGAGCCAUUUCUUUUUCUCAAUAGAUGGAAAAAGGUUAACUCAAAUUCUGUACAAAUUAGUCUUACAAAAUGAUGAGUAACCCCUUGUUAGAACCCAAUUUAUAUAGAAACAAGAUGAGACAGAAGGAAUCUGAUGCUGUUCAACAUUAUAAGCCUUCUCAUGUGGUUUCAUUUUAGAUCUCAAUGAUAGGGUCGGCCAUGUUUGUUCAAUGUUUCCUGCCUUCGAUAUCCACCUUCACUUCUUAUCAUAAUUUUUGUUCUUAGCUCACCAAUCUUUAUACAAUGAAUAUGUGAAAUAUUAAAAUACCACGGCCACACGGGUGGCUUAAUUAUCUGGUCUCCUAUUCUAGAGAAGGCCAGCUCAUAACUGACAAUCAGCUUUGAUUUGAUUCGAGCUAUGCUU